UUGGUCCAUCUCCUUUCCACUUUCUUUUUCUCCUUUAAUUUUCUCCUUUUUCCUUUCUUUUCUAUCCCCCUUCCUCCCCAGCCGACACCCUCGUUUACUCCUUUCCUUCUCUAUUUGUUUUCCCCAUUUCCAGCCUAUCUCAUUAUCUCUCUCCCUCUCGCACUCUCGUCUCCGAUCUCCCUUCUCCGUCCGGUGAAACACCGUGCAGCAACAAGGCCUUCGGAGCUGGAUGGUUGAGCAGUGGUGGCGUGGACAGCGGCAGCGGUGACCAAUAGCUCCGGCGAGCUGAGCUACGGCGGCGGCGAUCGGAUCUCCCGUGGCUACAGCAGUAGACGACGGUGUGAUUGAGGAUGGCCGGCGAAGUUAAUGAAGAAACAAAGCUUGAGGAUGCGCAAAAGAAUGAUGUUGAUGACGAUUAGAUGAAGUUUGUUGAUGAUGAGAUGAUAAUGAUGGGUUGGUGAUGAUGAUCGAUGAUGUUGAUCCGUUUCCUAUCAAGGAGCUGAGGUAGGAGGCUAUCAAGUGUUGAUGUGAAUCUUGACUUCAUUGGUAAGAUUAAUGUGUGUGUGUGUGUGGAGAUUUGGAAGUGCAUACAUACAUAGUAUGUUAAUUAUAUUGGUAUAUUUUUGUGAUAUUAUAAAUAUGUUGUAUAUAUUUUGAUAAGUGUAAAAGUGUUAUACAUUUUCGAAGAAAA